GGGCCCUCGGGGCCCAACCUCCCACCCGUGUUGCCCGAACCUAUGUUGCCUCGGCGGGCCCCGCGCCCGCCGACGGCCCCCCUGAACGCUGUCUGAAUUUGCAGUCUGAGACCUAUAACGAAAUUAGUUAAAACUUUCAACAACGGAUCUCUUGGUUCCGGCAUCGAUGAAGAACGCAGCGAAAUGCGAUAACUAAUGUGAAUUGCAGAAUUCAGUGAAUCAUCGAGUCUUUGAACGCACAUUGCGCCCUCUGGUAUUCCGGAGGGCAUGCCUGUCCGAGCGUCAUUGCUGCCCUCAAGCCCGGCUUGUGUGUUGGGCCCCGUCCCCCCCGCCGGCGGGACGGGCCCGAAAGGCAGCGGCGGCACCGCGUCCGGUCCUCGAGCGUAUGGGGCUUCGUCACCCGCUCUAGUAGGCCCGGCCGGCGCCAGCCGACCCCCAACCUUUAAUUAUCUCAGGUUGACCUCGGAUCAGGUAGGGAUACCCGCUGAACUUAAGCAUAUCAAUAAACGGAUGAAUACCG
rnacentral:rRNA from 1 species